UUUAGUGGCGCACGGGUGAGUAACGCGUGGGUAACCUGCCUUUAAGUCUGGGAUAACACUGGGAAACCAGUGCUAAUACCGGAUAAUCUUUUUUGAUGUAUAUUAAGAGAGUGAAAGCCGCCCUCUAUUUAUAAGGUGGUGCUUUUAGAGGGGCCUGCGUCCUAUUAGCUAGUUGGUAAGGUAAUGGCUUACCAAGGCAGAGAUGGGUAGCCGGCUUGAGAGAGUGAUCGGCCACACUGGAACUGAGACACGGUCCAGACUCC
rnacentral:rRNA from 1 species